rnacentral:rRNA from 1 species
GAUGAACUCUGGCGGCGUGCCUAAUACAUGCAAUUCUAGCGAAGCGGGGACGGGUGAGUAACACGUGGAUAACCUCCUAUAAGACUGGGAUAACUUAGGUAAACCGGAGCUAAACCGGAUACUUAUAGAUGGAUCCGCGCUGCAUUCUCUAGUUGUUAAGUUAACGUCUUACAAAGUCAAACAUGAAUAGCCGACCUGAGAGGGGUAUUGGCCACACUGGUACUGAGACACGGUCCAGACGCCGUCUGGAGGCAGCAGUAGGGAACCUUCCGCAAUGGGCGAAAGCCUGACGGAGCAACGCCGCGUGAGUGAUGAAUGUCUUCGGAUCGUAAAACUCUGUUAUUAGGGAAGCGGUACCUAAUCAGAAAGCCACGGCUAACCACGUGCCAGCAGCCGCGGUAAUUC